rnacentral:piRNA from 1 species
UUAAAUGUAGGCUCUCAAAUGA